ACCAAUUGUCUGUCUGUUGUCUCAGCGGGUUGACUUAGGAGGUGGUGGAGGCACUCACAGUGUCUCAUACACGCACUCGCAAGCCUCAUAGCUGCUACGAUUCCGACGACCACCAACGACCUCCGGCGCCUUCGACGAUUACCGGCGCCUUCGACCACCGGAGUCUUCGACCACCGGAGCCUUCAACGACCCCCUGCGCCUUCGACGACCCCCAGCGCCUUCGACGACCCCCAGCGCCUUCGACGACUACCGGCGCCACCAACGACCAUCAUCGCCGCCAUGAGGGGCUCUUGUACCACUCUUCUGCUGUGUUUCGCCCUCGCCGCCUCCUUUGCGGGAUCCGACGGUUUCCCUAAGAAGUUUCUUGAGCCGUUUUUACUGCCCAUCCCACUACCCGGGAUCAACGCGCCUCCCGCUGGCACACCAGUCACCACGAAUAAACGAUUUUGUCUUCCUAAUAUCAUAUGUCCCAUUAAUCCUCCUCUCCCCGUUAACGGCUAGUCGCCGUUAACAAAGUCGAUGUUAAGCUAAUUCUUUAUAGAGAAUGUCUCACUAACGCGACUGGAAACCAAGCCAACUCACACCUAUGGGAUGAAAGUGACGAGGUUUGGUCCGUCCUCAUGAUGGACCCCCUUAUCAUGGGGUCACUUUCACUCAACUUCAUGUGUGAGUUGGGUUGCUAAUCAUCACUGCUUCACUGUUUCUCAGAUCACCGUUAUCUCACUUGUUAAAUCAUUGCAAAUUUCACUGUUAUUAAUCAUUAGAGAGACACAUGAUUGACUCACCAGCGGUUAAUGAGGUGUCUUACCGUAUCCUCAUUCUUGAAAAACGGCUGCCUCAUCUUAACCAUGUUGGGUAAUGAGUGAGUCAGUAGCUGAGGUAAGGCACCGAUGGAGUUGUACCGAGUUGUCACAAUAAACAUCAUGUAUUUU